GUUAACGGUGAUCUAUUUUUAUCGAUGAUUUAUGUUUAGUAUGACGUCAGACUUUUAGAUAAAUACAAGACCCAUAUAAAUGUGUGUAUUCCUGUUUUUUAUAUCUCUAAACUAGCAUACAAAUCAAUGGUUUCAGAAACAACAUAAACUAAAAAAAAACAGGUUUACACCGACCCAUGUGCUAACGAAUGAUCCGUCUUUUUGUUAACAAAGAAAAUGGCCUGUUAGGGCGAGGCCGGUAACAUGAUAACCAUAACAUAGAACUAAAAGAAAAAAUCUACGCCUGAAGACCUACUGGUCCGGCGUCCUGCACGGUUGUAAUCGCCAAGUUUCUAAAAGCAUACAGCCAUGUGUAGGCUAAUUUUUCGUAUCUUCCGUCUGCUCUUGUUUCUGCUAGAACUGCAUGUGACUUUCUUUGCUGUCGGUGUUGCAGAGGCAAACGCCUACGUAGACAAGGUACCACAAACAUCAGUGCAAGAGGGCGCCGCAUCUGUGGUUGAAGAAGCCAUCAGUAUAUAUGACAUUACAGAGACGCCUGUGUAUGGUGAAUCUACCAGUCUUUUUGACAUUACAGAGACGGCUGUGUAUGGUGAAUC